AGUGAACGCUGGCGGUAGGCCUAACACAUGCAAGUCGAACGGCAGCACAGUAAGAGCUUGCUCUUACGGGUGGCGAGUGGCGGACGGGUGAGGAAUACAUCGGAAUCUACUUUUUCGUGGGGGAUAACGUAGGGAAACUUACGCUAAUACCGCAUACGACCUACGGGUGAAAGCAGGGGAUCUUCGGACCUUGCGCGAUUGAAUGAGCCGAUGUCGGAUUAGCUAGUUGGCGGGGUAAAGGCCCACCAAGGCGACGAUCCGUAGCUGGUCUGAGAGGAUGAUCAGCCACACUGGAACUGAGACACGGUCCAGACUCCUACGGGAGGCAGCAGUGGGGAAUAUUGGACAAUGGGCGCAAGCCUGAUCCAGCCAUACCGCGUGGGUGAAGAAGGCCUUCGGGUUGUAAAGACCUUUUGUUGGGAAAGAAAAGCAGCAGGUUAAUACCCCGCUGUUCUGACGGUACCCAAAGAAUAAGCACCGGCUAACUUCGUGC
rnacentral:rRNA from 1 species